rnacentral:tRNA from 1 species
UCCCAAGUGGCUCAGUGGUAAAGAAUCCGCCUGCAAUGCAGGAGACCCAGGUUCGAUCCCUGGAUCAGGAA